GGCCACGUUUGGGUAACCCAUCCCCAGGACUCCAUCGAACUUGGCGAAGAUGAAGGGCAUGGCAGACAGAGCGGUGGCCUCAGCAAACACCUGCACCACAGGAAUACCACCGACCUGCAGGGAAAACAGACUGAAGGUCAAAGAAACCCCCUGACGUUCCCAGCGGCAUACUGGAUGGAAAACCCGGUCCCGUUCUCGAUGUGGGUCCGGGAUUUGGAGGCAUCGUACCUGUUGUCCACCAGCAGCCCCAGUCCUGUCCAAGAUGAAAGUGGACAGCAGUCUUGACCUUCAUAAAUGAACGGCACAACACAGGAGGGCCGACAGUGAAAUGGUAUCAAUUUUUCGGAUUCCCUAUUUUUAGACAGCCUGCGCUCUGGAAGACAGCAGCACCACGGUAGCACUUUCCACCCUCAGCGUGAUAUCAGAGGAAAGUGUAAACUUGCCUUGUCCAUCAUACAAUUAGGCCUAACAGGUGUGUAUUGACAGAGCAUGUCGGUGGCAAUCUCACAGACAUCUGACUCCUGACCUACUUGGCUAAAUGAAUUACAGGUCUCUUUCCCAGACCCCCUAAAUGGACCCAUGCGUCAUUUCUGCCUGGCCUCCCACUUCUCCUCCACUGUUGGGAAAUAUAAAACCACCCCCUGGAAAAUGAUUUAUUUUAAGUUCAUAUGUUUUUUAGUAUCAGUCACAUCCCCUCAGAGGGCCUGCAUGACAGGUUGACAAGACGGCAAAGAAGUUUCUAGCAAGGGAAUUGACUUUCAGAUCAUCAAAGCAAAGCAUGUGUGUUUUAUAAAAUGAGGAGGCUGUUGGGGAAAAAAAGGUGCGGCAGGUUAAACCUCAACGGAGUUUCUGCCGACAGACGCAGAUCGGAGGCACAGUUUGCGAAAGAGGAUCUUGUAGGGUAGUGAGCUAUCUAUCAUGAUAAGAAAGCAACACGUUGAGAGACAUCUGAAGCAGAGCAGUGUUUGUUUGCAGGACAUGGGACUUGAGGGAAGUAAUCACUCACAAUAGUGACUGCCAAAGCCUCAAAAGCUCGACCUAAAAUCCUGACCAGCUGCUAUGAGCCACAAAACGCCCCAUGUUACAUGUUUUUGGCUGAACUGUGAGAGGUUGCUUCAUACACAAUGAAUGGAGAGCGACAAUGGGGUCUGAUGCAUUUUAUGCUAAGUUAUGUUUUUGAAUUUAAAGCCAAUGAACUCCAAAUUAGAGAUGAUGAGGCUGCGAUUCCAUCUGGAGACAAUAUGUAGGAAAAUAUGUGGGACUGUCCUCACAACAGGAGGUGGAAAAUGUAGAAAUGAGGACCAAAAGAUGCAGUCAAAACAUAUUUUAUGUGCAUACUAUCGUAGCCCUCCCAAGAGCAUGAUUUUUUAUAUUUUUGUGUUUGCCAGCUUAUUAUAAUAAA